rnacentral:rRNA from 1 species
AGUAACACGUGGGUAAUCUGCCCUCGGCACCGGAAUAGCCCGGGGAAACCCGGAUUAAUGCCGGAUAGCCUCACGAGCUCUCGAGCUCGUGUGAAAAGGUAGCUUCGGCCUCUGGCCGGGGAGGAGCCCGCGGCGGAUUAGCUUGUUGGUGGGGUAAAGGCUCACCAAGGCGACGAUCCGUAGCUGGUCUGAGAGGACGAUCAGCCACACUGGGACUGAGACACGGCCCAG